GGAGCUUUGCUGAAACUGCACAAAAAAUCGAGCCGGGGGGUUCCCUGGUCCCCGGCGAUGGGGCGGGGAGCGCUGCGCCGGGGGAGGGGGCGGGCGCGGCGGCGCGGGCCCCGCCGAGGGGGGACACCUGGCUGAGGCACAGCUGCCGCCGUGCCUUUCCGCGCGAGCCCAGAGCUCCGAUCCCUGCGCGGGCUCGAGAGCUCGCCCCGAACGGGGGUCUUCCUCCUCCGCCGUUGACAGGUUUUGACCUGUAGCAGAGAACCAAUUCUGGAGAACAGCCUCACUUCUUUGAUUGAAUACUUACAUAAUGCAUUGGAACAUGACAUGAGAUUAAGCUGGGAGCAGAGGCUGGGAGAUCGAUGCUGCUUGUCAGCUGUUGUGCAGAAUAACAUCAAUAUGCAAUAAUGGUGGCCAAAGGAGCCUGCACCCAUCCGUUUUUACAAACCCAGUGUAUAAAGCCAAAUGUCCCAUUUAAAGUUUGACAUUUGCAAUAGCAUUCUAUUUAAAAGGUUUAAUAAUGAUAGAAUGAAGACCACAAUAAAAGAGACCUCUACUUAGCUCAGCAAUUCUUACCUUUCUUACCUAUUUGAUGAAGAUGUCUUUUGAAAGGUGUACUGCAAGGAACAAAAUGUUUGUAAAUUCUCCUUUUACCAAGGUUUCUUUUUUAAUUGAUGCCAAAGAGUUCCAAUAUUGAACAUCUUAAGUCUGUUACUUGGAUUACGGAUUGAGUUUGGAGCUUACUCAGAGGACUACAGGAGAGUAUCCAGGAAGUGGAUAAUUACUGUACCUUCCUCAUGGAAAAAGUUUUAUUUAAAGUGUUAUUUCUCAUUGAAUACUAUCAAAAAGGAAAAAAAAAUGACCUAAACUUUUGAGAUAGAUUUGGCUCUAGUAAGUAUUUAGGCCUACUCUAGGUGCGGUACUUCACUAUAGUUUAUAAAAGAUGGUCCCUGUCAGCAAAGAACUGUAACCUGUAUGAGAAUAUUAUACUAACAUACAAGAAACAAGUAGAGAAUAAUGGAAUGUAAACUCUGGCUUGCUAACUUAAGUGUGGUAGAAGCUUGAAGGAAAUGUGGACUUAAACUUAUCAGAGAAGACUUAUAAGAGGAUAUGAAAGGUGUAAAUUUUGAUACCACCAUUGCCGCCUUCCCCUCAAAAAAGGUGAGAACUGACUAAACUACUGGUACUUAGACCAUGUGGAGAAGGAACUGAAAAUGGAAACAGAAACACGUCUGUACAGAGCAGAGUGUCAGAUAAUAGCUCAUUUUAGUAGAGGGCAAUAAAUGCCACAUGAGAUGAUCACCUCAGCAGAAAACUGGGAUGUGGAGACGCUGGUAGCGGGGCCAGGAAGGCUCCGGACGGAGCAGGUUUUCUGGACCACAGACACACUGCCCCGGCGCCCUCCGCAGGCCGCUCCUCCCCAGGCCCAUGACAGUGCCCCGCUGGUUUCUGCCGCGCUGCCGGACUGGAGCUCAGACGGCCUUCGCCAGCCCCCCCAACCCACGCAGAUCCCUGCUGACCUGGGCAACUCCCCACCCUCGCUGAAGGUUCGAGGACCACCCCGCUUUCCCGAGAGGAGCCGGGCGGCGGGUACUUAUCUCCGACCUCCGGCUAGUGGGAAAGGCCGCGCGACCGCCCGUCCUCCAACUACAGGGACCGCACGAACAGCGACUGGGAAACUGCCACUAGAAAAAGAUGACUGUCCAACUAAAACCUGCAUACACAGCUACAUCCUUCCCUGGAAGAGCACAGUGGAACUAGAUCCUAGUACAGAUAGCACAGGGAUUGUCAACAUUCUUGUCACACUGAAAUUUCCUUCUACUGAUCUCCAAACUUCUAAAAAUUUGCUGUUGAGACCAGCUGAAAUGUUUGAAAGAAGCAACUAAAGAAAGAAACUUUGAAAGAAGCUUCCAAAAGAAGCAACCAAGUCUACAAAGGCACAGUUUGACUCAAAUGGAUCCAACUGAUUAGCAAAUGGAAAAUAACAUGGAGGAAUAUAUUUUGCAUGACAAGCAUAGCAGCUCCAAGUCAUCCCUAAUGAAGCCAAAAAUUUAAGUGCAACCCAGAGAAUGGAUGGUUCAGAAUCUUUUUUUUUUUUGAGAUGGAGUCUCGCUCUGUCACCUAGGCUGGAGUGCGGUGGCAUGAUCUCGGCUCACUGCAAGCUCCGCCUCCUGGGUUCACGCCAUUCUCCUGCCUCAGCCUUCCGGGUAGCUGGGACUACAGGUGCCUGCCACCACGCCCGGCUAAUUUUUUGUAUUUUUAGUAGAGACGGGGUUUCACCGUGUUAGCUAGGAUGGUCUCAAUCUCCUGACCUCGUGAUCUGCCCGCCUCAGCCUCCCAAAGUGCUGGAAUUACAGGCGUGAGCCACCGCGCCCGGCCCAGAAUCUUUUUUAAAUUUUUUAUUAUUAUUAUUUUUUCUGAGAUGGAGUCCGGCUCUGUGGCCAGGCUGGAGUGCAGUGGCACAAUCUCAGCUCACUGCAACCUCUGACUCCCAGGUACAAGUGAUUCUCCUGCCUCAGCCUCCUGAGUAGCUGGGAUAACAGGCACGUGCCACCACGCCCAGCUAAUUUUUGUAUUUUUAGUAGAGACGGGGUUUCACCAUGUUGGCCAGGAUGGUCUCGAUCUGCCUACCUUGGCCUCCCAAUGUACUGGGAUUACAGGCGUGAGCCACCGUACCCGGCCCAGAAUCUUUGCCUUUUGUUUGCAUAGUUUAAUCUUCUAAACCAGUUGCUUUCCCAGAAAAGGUGACUUAAAGUCAUAGCCUUUGUGUUCAUCACCAUACUCUCCAUAGUUUUACAAAUUAUUCAGUUUAUUUUUAAAAGGGGUAAUUUUUAAAAUUUUUAUUUUUAAUUCCGAAGCAUUCCUUUUAAUACAUUCUCUUGAGGGAAAAAAAAAAUCACACAUAGUGAUUGUGUGUGGUAGUGAUUAUGUGUGGCCUAAGUGGCAAUUGAUCAAUACCCCAAUCUCAAGCCUGUACAUUGUUACUGGUUGACUGGUUGGUUGCCUGGUGGGCUUUUUGUCCUUCCAGAUGUUUUUCUACCUUCUGCCUUUUCCAAUAAAGCUUCCAUUAUAGGAAAAAAAAAAAAAAAAAAAAA
rnacentral:lncRNA from 1 species